rnacentral:pre_miRNA from 1 species
AAAACUUAGGUACAAUUCCUUACGUGCUUUGGGUAUGGUUCUUAACUAAAAAUAUAUAUAUUUUUGGAUAUAACAAUCUUUGAGAAAAUUAUGGAUUUGAGAAAAUCAUGGUGAAUUUAGUUAAGAACUAUACGAAAAACACAUAAGGAAUUGUACCCAAAUUUU